UACGAAAGGGGCUAGCGUUGUUCGGCAUUACUGGGCGUAAAGCGCACGUCGGCGGCCUUGUAAGUUGGGGGUGAAAUCCCGGGGCUCAACUCCGGAACUGCCUUCAAGACUGCAAAGCUAGAGGACGCGAGAGGUUAGCGGAAUUCCGAGUGUAGAGGUGAAAUUCGUAGAUAUUCGGAAGAACACCAGUGGCGAAGGCGGCUAACUGGCGCGUUUCUGACGCUGAGGUGCGAAAGCGUGGGGAGCGAACAGG
rnacentral:rRNA from 1 species